rnacentral:rRNA from 1 species
UGGGGAAUAUUGGACAAUGGGCGCAAGCUGAUCCAGCCAUGCCGCGUGAGUGAUGAAGGCCUUAGGGUUGUAAAGCUCUUUCGGCGGGGAAGAUAAUGACGGUACCCGCAGAAGAAGCCCCGGCUAACUUCGUGCCAGCAGCCGCGGUAAUACGAAGGGGGCUAGCGUUGCUCGGAAUCACUGGGCGUAAAGCGCACGUAGGCGGAUCUUUAAGUCAGGGGUGAAAUCCCGGAGCUCAACUCCGGAACUGCACUUUGAUACUGAGGAUCUUGAGUCCGGGAGAGGUGAGUGGAACUGCGAGUGUAGAGGUGAAAUUCGUAGAUAUUCGCAAGAACACCAGUGGCGAAGGCGGCUCACUGGCCCGGUACUGACGCUGAGGUGCGAAAGCGUGGGGAGCAAACA